GCGGAUUAAUACCGUAUGAGGUCACAUGCGGGCAUCUAAUUGUGACGAAAGGUUUGGCGGACAUGGAUGGGGAUGCGUCCGAUUAGCUUGUUGGCGGGGUAACGGCCCACCAAGGCGACGAUCGGUAGGGGUUCUGAGAGGAAGGUCCCCCACAUUGGAACUGAGACACGGUCCAAACUCCUACGGGAGGCAGCAGUGAGGAAUAUUGGUCAAUGGACGUAAGUCUGAACCAGCCAAGUAGCGUGCAGGAUGACGGCCCUAUGGGUUGUAAACUGCUUUUAUGCGGGGAUAAAGUUUGGGAUGUAUCCCAUUUUGCAGGUACCGCAUGAAUAAGGACCGGCUAAUUCCGUGCCAGCAGCCGCGGUAAUACGGAAGGUCCGGGCGUUAUCCGGAUUUAUUGGGUUUAAAGGGAGCGUAGGCCGUCGUUUAAGCGUGUUGUGAAAUGCCGCGGCUCAACCGUGGCACUGCAGCGCGAACUGGAUGACUUGAGUUCGCGGGAGGUAGGCGGAAUUCGUGGUGUAGCGGUGAAAUGCUUAGAUAUCACGAAGAACUCCGAUUG
rnacentral:rRNA from 1 species